rnacentral:lncRNA from 1 species
CAGUCACAGACAGACAUGACAUUACACAUUACACGUCGUCAUAAGUUACUUAAAAAGUUUAACAGCGGAGAUCGGGUAACAAGUCAAAUGUUUUUAAGUAAUUUCAGCUGAAGUUUUCAUGUACCUGGCCAACUGGGUGCUCGUGACAAUAGAAAUGAAAUGGUCUAAUCCAAUAAUGCAUGCCCACAACCUUAUGUCUUCUGAAGCAAAAUAAUUUCUGUUGCAAGUUGUAAAUCAUCAAGAUAUUGAUGCCUUCGCCAGAGUCGAUUCUUUGUUGCUAUCUAUUUUGCGGACAACAGCAAGAAAAUGCUGCUACUCAAGAUUUUAUGGUGACCAACACUUUGUUCUAAUUUAGGACAAUGUAAGGUUGAUAGAUUUGAGGUAAAUCCCUCUUCACCACUGUAAUAGUUGUUUGGAAACCGACAAGAGAUUGCUGGAAUUGAAGACUGAUAAUUUGUGUAGAUUUAGAUAAAUUAAAAGUGCAUACCUGGGUCCCCUUCUUUUCUGUCUUAUGAAAGCUUUUGGAGGGUCAUGGUCUAAACCGGAAACCUACUAUGACUAUAUCUCGCCAGUAAAACUGGCCUCAUACUUUUCUCUUCUUCACUGUCCAGGUAAUCUCCCUGGGCACAGUUAGGGCAGUGUCACCUUCUGUUGUGAUUGAUUGCACUUCCAAGUUGGCAAAGUAUAGCGAUUUACAUUUACGGACAGUGAUUCCUUCGUGCUCGCGGCACAUUCAAGAAAUUGCAAUCUUUACUGUCAUAUAUUUUCUAUAUAUUUUUCUUAAUAUAACUUUCUAGAUACUGUUCCAACAUAGUGCUGGGAAUGAUGGACAAUUUGAAAACAAUUCUUAAACGUUUGCAUUCCAUCGAUUUUGAUGCUGGUAUAAAUACAAAUUUUACAAUAUUAUUUGCCAUGUACAUAUUUGUUACAUUAAUCUAAGUAAAAAAAUACUAAAUUUCUGCUAUUAACUAAUAAAAAUUUAGUCAACAUUACACAUUACAUCUCUCCCGUAACUUACCCUGGAAAUGAAGUUAGUUCAAGCAUCAGAAUAUGACCGAAUGCAGAUAGACUAGAGUAAUAAUUACAUCCCAUAUGACGCAGGAAAGAUCCAACAAAAAUUGGAACACGUCGCAAUGUCAAAGAAUUGAAGGUAGCAAGAGAACACAUAAAGAUUAUUACCCGCAUUAAAAAUUUAUUUUCUCAUUAAAGAUCAACAAUUAAUUCCCAUUGACUAGUAACUACUAAGAUAUAACCGACAAAUUUUAAGAUAAUUGAUAAAAUUAAAUCGGCUCUAGUAUUUAGGAGCUUCCCUGUAGUAAACUGGAGAAGCGUAGGUUGUGGUGUAAUAUUCAGGGGCCUUAGUGGUGUAGUAACUCGGCGGAGAAUAAUACUUCGGAGCUUCGGUGUAGUAGGUCGGAGCAGCGUAAGUAGUGGUAUAAUACUCGGGUGCCUUGGUAGUGUAGUACUUGGGAGCUUCAGUGUAGUAGCUGGGGGCAGCGUAGGUUGUAGUGUAAUAUUCGGGGGCCUUGGUGUAAUAAACAGGAGCCUCUGUUUGGUAGUAGCCUGGAGCAGAGUAAUACUUGGGUUCCUCGGCGUAGUAGACUGUAGUAGCGUACGUGGUUGUGUAA